rnacentral:rRNA from 1 species
AUUGAACGCUGGCGGCAUGCUUUACACAUGCAAGUCGAACGGUAACAGGCCGCAAGGUGCUGACGAGUGGCGAACGGGUGAGUAAUGCAUCGGAACGUGCCCAGUCGUGGGGGAUAACUACUCGAAAGAGUAGCUAAUACCGCAUACGAUCUAUGGAUGAAAGCGGGGGACCGGAAGGCCUCGCGCGAUUGGAGCGGCCGAUGUCAGAUUAGGGAGGUGGUGGGGUAAAGGCCCACCAAGCCAACGAUCUGGAGCUGGGCUGAGAGGACGACCAGCCACACUGGGACCUGGACCCGGCCCCGACUUCCACGGGAGGCCGCAGUGGGGAAUUUUGGACCAUGGGCGCAAGCCUGAUCCCGCCAUGCCGCCUGCCGGAAGAAGGCCUUCGGGUUGUAAACUUCUUUUGUUAGGGACCAAACGGCUCUGGUUAAUACCCCGGGCUAAUGACGGUACCGGAAGAAUAAGCCCCGGCUAACUACGUG